UCAUUACGUGGCAAUUUCAGUUUAGUUGAUCCUUAAGUGAUUUGAAUGAACGUUGGUGCUAAACUUCUGUAGUGAACGGAAGUAGUUUAUAGCCACAAAUUUUCAGUUACCGCAAUCCGCAAUCCGCAAUCCGCAAUCCGCAAUCCGCAAUCCACAAAUAAUACAAUUAAAAGAUUUGCGCGUUUGACUGAUUGGCUAUAACACCAACGAAGAAAAAAAAUAAAAAGAGACAGAGUCCAGAAGACCUGCCCAUAACAGUAACUGAAAAUUUCUCAAGCGACGCCGCCGAAAAAG